rnacentral:rRNA from 1 species
UUCCGGUUGAUCCCGCCGGAGGCUACCGCUAUUGGAGUCCGAUUAAGACAUGCGAGUCGAGAGCUUUCGGAGCUCGGCAUACUGCUCAGUAACACGUGGGUAACCUGCCCUAUUGUUUCGAAUAACCUCGGGAAACUGAGAACAACACGAGAUAGUCCACUACGCCUGGAACGGUGAGUGGAUAAAGAUAGGAUGGGCCUGCGGCGUAUCAGGUCGUAGGGGGUGUAAAGGACCUCCUAGCCAUCGACGCGUACGGGUGUUGGGAGACAUAGCCCGGAGAUGGAUUCUGAGACACGAAUCCAGGCCCUACGGGGCGCAGCAGUUACGAAAACUUGGCAAUGCGGGAAACCGUGACCAGGGAACUCCAAGUGGCUGUCCUUUUGGGCAGUCUUUUCUUGACUCUAAAACGGUCUUGGAAUAAGGGGUGGGUAAGGACGGUGCCAGCCGCCGCGGUAAUACCGGCGCCUCAAGUGGUCGUCGCUUUUAUUGGGCCUAAAACGUCCGUAGCCGGUUUGGUACAUUCGUGGGUAAAUCAGCUCGCUCAACGAGCUGAAUUCUGCGAGCACGGCCAGACUAGGGACCGGGAGAGGUGUGGGGAACUCUCAGGGUAGGGGUAAAAUCCUGUCAUCCUGAGAGGACCACCUGUUGCGAAGGCGCCAC